AGGGGUAUAGUUUAAAGGUAGAACGAAGGUCUCCAAAACCUUUGGUGUGGGUUCGAUUCCUACUACCCCUGCCA
rnacentral:tRNA from 62 species